rnacentral:siRNA from 1 species
AAUUUUGGGUGUGACGAGGGUGAU